GCGGGUGUGGUGCAUGGUACACGGCUGUCCUCCUUGUCAUUGUUGAAGUUUGAAGACAGCAGAACCGGGUUCGAUUCCCGGCAUCCGCG